GAUUAACGCUGGCGGCGUGCAUAACACAUGCAAGUCGAACGAUGAAACUUAACUGAUUUCUUCGGAAUGAUUUUAAGUGGAUUAGUGGCGGACGGGUGAGUAACGCGUUAGUAACCUGCCUUGGAGAAGGGGAUAGCCUUUGGAAACGAAGAAUAAUACCCUAUGAUAUGAUAAUAUCUCAUGAUAUUAUCAUCAAAGAUUUAUCGCUCUAAGAUGGACUUGCGUCUGAUUAGUUAGUUGGUGAGGUAGCAGCUCACCAAGGCAGCGAUCAGUAGCCGGAGUGAGAGAGUGUACGACCACAUUGGGACAGGGACAAGGCCCAGACUCCUACGAGAGGCAGCAGUGGGGAAUUAUGCACAAUGGGGGAGACCCUGAUGCAGCGACGCCGCGAGAUUGAGAAGGCCGUCGGGUAGUAAAGAUCUUUUGUAUGAGAAGAAAAUGACGGUACCAGACGAAUAAGGACCGGCUAAUUACGUG
rnacentral:rRNA from 1 species